rnacentral:rRNA from 1 species
UACGAAGGGGGCGAGCGUUGUUCGGAUUUACUGGGCGUAAAGGGCGCGCAGGCGGCUUAUUUUGUCAGGCGUGAAAGCCCCGGGCUUAACCUGGGAACUGCGUUUGAUACGGAUGGGCUAGAGUUCGGGAGAGGAGAGUGGAAUUCCCAGUGUAGAGGUGAAAUUCGUAGAUAUUGGGAAGAACACCGGUGGCGAAGGCGGCGACCUGGUCCGAUACUGACGCUGAGGCGCGAAAGCGUGGGGAGCAAACAGG